AAUACUCCCUCCAAAAUUGUUUCUAGACAAGUCAAGAACAUAAAGUGAAGUCAAAUUACAAAUUGAAGGAGGGAUUUCUCCUGUCAAUUUGUUUUCUGAAAUCAAAAAUUUUCGCA